CUGGCGGCGUGCUAACACAUGCAAGUCGAACGCGAAAGGGACUUCGGUCCUGAGUAAAGUAGGCGCACGGGUGAGUAACGCGUAGAUAACCUGUCUUCAUGUCUGGAAUAAUACGCCGAAAGGGGUACUAAUACCGGAUAUUCUUGCUUUUCAUAAGUUAUGCAAGCAAAGGUGGCCUCUGCAUAUGCUACUGCAUGAAGAGGGGUCUGCGUACCAUUAGCUAGUAGGUGGGGUAAUGGCCUACCUAGGCGACGAUGGUUAGCGGGUCUGAGAGGAUGAUCCGCCACACUGGCACUGGAACACGGGCCAGACUCCUACGGGAGGCAGCAGUGAGGAAUAUUGCGCAAUGGGGGAAACCCUGACGCAGCGACGCCGCGUGAGUGAGGAAAGGCCUUCGGGUCGUAAAGCUCUGUCAAGAGGAAAGAAGUGUACAAUGGCUAAUACCUGUUGUAUCUGACGGUACCUCUAAAGGAAGCACCGGCUAACUCCGUGCCAGCAGCCGC
rnacentral:rRNA from 1 species